rnacentral:lncRNA from 1 species
AGGCUGUCAAAGGCAAUUGCCACAAGAGGUCAACGCCAAGGCUGCUCUGCAGAUAUGACCAGGGCUCAUUUUUUCCAUGAUCUUAGAGAAACUGGAUAAGCCCGGGGCAAAUCGGGCCCAGAGAUGAGAUGGUAGGACAUUAUGGCAGGCCCUGAAACCCCAGCGUGCCCCAGCAGAGGCCUGUGGUGGCCUCUGGGGAGGUGGGCGGUGGUGGAGGUCCGUGUGAGAGGGCAGCAGCAGCAGCAGAUUAGGCCCUGUGGAAGCCCACUUCCUUCCAGAGACAGUGCCAGGGGAGGAAGGGUCCAGACUGAGGGCAGGACGGGCCAGGGGGUGUGGCAGGCGGAUGCCCCCCUGGGCAGGUGACCUCAUCCACCCCUCCCGUGUCGCCUCCUCUGAUCUGCUCCCUCUGGAGAUGGGGAAAUCCAGAGUAGGGGCAACAGGAAGUAUAUUCCCAAGAAGACUGUAGACCCCCGCACAGGGAAACGAUGGAGCUCAGGAGGGGCGCUGAUCUCGGGAGCCUGGAUCCACCAGUUAUGCAAGUGAUGAAGUGAGUACGCACGGUCCUCGAGGCCAGGGCCGGCGCAGUAAGAACGAACAGGUUGUUCUGGAAAAUUGUCUGGCAGCCUCCCCGCGGCCUGCCUGCAGGAACUGGCAUCUGUGGAGUACUUUGCCUUGCUUGUUGAUCCACAGCACUUACCACAUCCUGGAGAAACAGGUCAAUACAGGUGGCCCUCAGGAGCCAUGGGCCCCAUGUUUGGAACUCUGACCCACACAGGGGCAACCUGAACUCCUGAGCCAUAGCCAACCCCUCCCACCCGGGGCCUCUGAUGAGCUGGGCCCCCCUGCAAAUAACGUUCCUGUCUGUUUCCAUCUGUGAGCUCCUGCUCGCGAUCUAAGGCCCAGCUGAAAGUGCUUCUUCCUUCCUGGGCCACCUUCCUUUCAUUCUCAGCUUUUCUAAAUUAUGAACAUUUCAAACAUUCCCAAAGGAGAGAGAGUGCACGAUGCACCUGAACCAUAUGUCGCCCAGAAUCCAUGGCUAUCAAGAUCUUACCACAGUUGCUUCAUGGAUCCCUGCCUCUACUUAUUUCUUUCUGAGUUGCUUUAAUGUUUCACGCCACUUUAUAUCUAUGUACUAGAUUUUGCAUCUCUAAAAUAGAGGGGCAUUUUUAUACGUAAUGAUGUUAUGGUCGUCUGGCCUAAAAAUUGCCAACACUUCCUUGCUAUCUAUCAUUCAAUACCCAGUCCAUAUUGAAAUUUCCCUUCUGAAAAUUAAUUUUUGGAAUCAAGUCUACCAUCGGAUUUGGUUGAAUUUCUGAAGGAAGGGGGUCCAUUGCUCUGCCGAAUGUCCCCACAUGGCUUCUGUCUCCAUCCACCACGUAUGUCCAGCUUGCGGCCCUGACUCUAGGUGCCCUCAAUUAUGCCCACUGUGGAAACGGCCUUUCUGCCACAUCUGAAGCUUGAGCCUUGGAGGCAGGCAUGACGUCUCAUCUCUGUGUUCUUUGUGGUUCCCAAGGCAAUGCGUGGUGUAUCCGAAGUGCUCCACUGAGUCUCGAAAACGUCCCUGCAUUGGAGGGAUCAUGGAGUGAAUUUUGUCUUUGCCACUCCACUUACAACUUCAAGUCUGGAGAUUUUGAAACACCCCAUGACUGGGAGUGACCGCUGGCUCGGAGAGGUUUGUACACAGAGCAGAGGGUAGACUAGAUGACCCUUAAGAUCCACCAUGACUCUGCAAUUCAGGCAUGCGGAACCUGGCUGAUGACAGACAUCGACUUUGUCCUCCAACCUUUUUCCGGGACUUAUCAAUAUUCUCGUGGUUAAAUUCCACAAGCUGGCAUGAUCUGAGGAGGGAAAUUAGGACAUGGUUUCUUGCCAUUACUUUUUACAGCUUGGCAAGGGGCAGGAGGCUGCCAUCCCCUUCUGUGGUUGCUGUGUCAUUCUGUGGGGUUGCUGGAGCCGGGGCCUGAGGUGUCAGGGCGGUGGAAGCUCCUGACCCUGCCCUGCUUUCUGACCCACCUCUCAUCUCACAACCUCUGACCUUGUUUAUUUCUAGAGGCAUAAUCUGUGUGCCAUAUUGUGAGUAAAUGAGAAAAUGUGGCUUGGAUUAUGGAAUUCAGCUUUAUGAUUCAUUUGUUCAGCAAGCUCUUUUUGAGAAUCUAUCUUGUGCCAGGCCCUAGAUUCUGGGGGUUUAAAAAUUGCCAAGACCCAGGCGUGGUGGCUCACGCCGCUAAUCCCAGCAUUUUGGGAGGCCGAGGUGGGCGAAUCACAAGGUCAGGAGUUCGAGACCAGCCUGGCCAACAUGGUGAAAACCCGUCUUUACUAAAAAUACAAAAAAAAUUAGCUAGGCAUGGUGGUGGGUGCCUGUAAUCCCAGCUACUCGGGAGGCUGAGGCAGGAGAAUCGCUUGAACCCAGGAGGCGCAGGUUGCAGUGAGGCGAGAUCUCACCACUGCACUCUAGCCUGGAUGACAGUGCAAGACUCCAUCUGAAAAAAAAAAAAAAAAAAACAACAAAACAAGAACGGCCAAGACCCACCUUGCUAGCAAGAAGUUCACUGUCUAAUGACAGAGACAGACCAAAGUGGCAUAAGAGAGCAAGCCUGAAUGCUAUGAGAGAGACCCAUUUCAGACUGCUGGGGUAUAGGAGGGCUUCCUGGAGGAGGCAGCUUCUAAGUUGAGUCUUAAAGGGUGAAGUACAGACAUGAAAGAAGCAAUGCCUGGGAAGGUACUCAAGAAAAAGCAUGAUGUGGUGGGGAAGGGCUGCAGCCCAGCCCUGUGCCUGCAUCCCACGCAUUUCUACUUGAUUCCUUAGCUCCCUAAACCUUGCUUGUCUCAUCUGUAAGGUGGAGAUAAAAAUAACAGUCUUCUUUUAUUAUGUGAGUUGCAAAUGACAGAGUGCAUGUGAAGGCUCCUGGUGCCAAAAAUGUUAGCAGAAUUGAGUGGAAGCAGAGUGAACACUCACUGAGGGCCGGGAGACUUAGGAGGGAGCUGGACCCCCCGGGAUGCUUUGCUGGAUGACCACAGCUUGGGGAGGGGGCUACUGCCUUUGGAGAAUGGCAACACUAUCAUGCAGCUCAGAAGGCUGGAGUCUAAUACCCUGCUCAGCAACCAGGCAUAGUCCAUUCCAUCACAGAGCCUGGGUUCACCUUGAGGACAGUGAGAACUCAGCCCUGGCCAUGUGGAAGUCAAAGCGUGCAGCACCUACGUACAUGGACCUCACCUGUCAUCCAAGUCUCCAAACCACACUGCAAUACAAACAUCGCCAAAGUAGCAGGCUUCUCUCCUCUGGGUGACAUCCACAGGGCAGAUCUGAGCAACACUUAGUGUCUCCUGGGACCUUCCCAGCCUCGGACAGAAUGGUUGUUAGAGGAACAAGGUGAGAAAAAUUUUACUGUCACUAAACAGUACUGGGUUAUUUGAGCUCCUAUGCAUGGUUGUAGAUGACGGACAGUUACUUCUAUUAUGUCCAUGUAUGCUGUUCAACAACGAUAUUGAACUCAGCUCACUAUUGGCUUCCAUUUAUUUGAAGUGAACGACGAUGUCCCUCUAUUUGAAAAGACCUUUCUUCCACACCUAUCCUUCCUUCAACCUGCUGUUGGAAUCAGGUCCCUUAACUACAGAGAAUUCAAUGGUACCCCAAUCCCAUACACGUCAAACUUUGAUUAAAGAAUGUCUUACUCUGACCAAGGAUCUCAGAGCCCCCAGAUGAACCUCAAGACAUGGUUGGCCAUUUUUCUUUACCAUUUGUGGGAUAAAAAAGCUGAAAAUAGCCAGGAGCGGUGGCUCCCACCUGUAAUUCCAGCACUUUGGAAGGCUGAGGCAGGUGGAUCGUGUGAGCUCAGACAUUCGAGAUCAGCCUGGGCAACAUGGUGCAACCCUGUUUCUAUAACAAGUACAAACAUAAGCCAGGCAUGGUGGCAUGUGCCUUUAGUCCCAGCUACUUGGGAGGCUGAAGUGGGAGGAUUGCUUGAGCCUGGGGGUUUGAGGCUGCUGUGAGCUGUUUUUAGGCCACUGCACUCCAGCCAGGGAGACAAAGCAAGACCUUGUCAAGAAAAAAAAAAAAAAAAGAGACCUGGUUUGGUGGCUCACACAUGUAAUCCCAGUGUUUUGAGAGGCUGAGGUGUGAGGAUCCCUCGAGCCCAGGAGUUUGAGACUAGCCUAGGCAACAUAGCAAGACCCCAUCUGUGUUAUUAAAAAAGAAGAAGAAGAAGAAAAAGCCUAAGGGUAAGUGAGCAAAGGGCCAAAGGCUUCUGGGUUUGUGGACUCUGCACUUGGAAGACUGAAAUGGGCUUUGCAGAUUAGGAUCAGCAUUCAAAAUUGCUUCUAGAAGUUUCUGAGUAGGUAGAAAUUAGGAAGAGAGGCUUGCAGAAGUCUGAGUCAACUAGACUGAGGUCAGAAUCCCAGCUUGACCUCUUAUUAGCUGUUUGACAUUAGGUAAAUUUCUUACAUUUACUUGAGCCUCAGUUUCUUCAUCUGAAGACUGGGACAUGAUCAUGCCUGUCUCAUUUGUUGUUGUCAGCCAAAAUGAGAUAAAGUAUGAAAAUGCGCUUUGCACAAUGGCUGGAGUAUUAUCAGAAUGCUAAAAUAUUCCCAGGUGCUGUGGUCUGAAUGUCUGUGUCUCCUCUCCAAAAUUCCCAUGUUGAAAGCUAACCCUGAUGUGAUGGUUGGUAUUAGGAAGUGAAGUCUUUGGGAGGUGAUGAGGUCAUGAGGGUGGAGCCCUCACGGAGGUGAUUAGUGCCCUCAUAAGUAAGGGGCUAGUGAGGACGAAGCAGGAAGCAGGCUGUCUGGAAGAGGCCACUCCAGAACCCGACCAUACUGGCACCCUCAUCUCAGACUUCUGGUCUCCAGAACUGUGGGAAAGAUUUGUUAUUUAUAAGCUAGAAGCUUCCAGAGCUGUAAAAAACAAAUGUCUGUUAUUUAUAAGAUACAGUCUAUGGUAUUUUGUUAUCUCAGCCCAAAUGGACUAAGACAACCAGUAAAUGUUAGUUCAUUCCCCUCUUUGCAUGCAAAGGGAAAACUGCUUGACCAUGACUUCACAUCAAGAGCUGUGUCCACUCUUAGUAGGUCCAUAUGGCAAGCUUUGUUUGGGUAGAGACCAGCAGAACUAAAACAGCACCCUGUCUCUGAAAAUAGUUAUUCAGAUCUAAAGACGCUACCCCAGAGCCAUGCUGCUUUAUAGCCCCUGACCAGUCAACAUCCUGAUUACGGUGGUGUUAGGGGCCUGACCUUGAUCUACUUUUCCUGUGGUCAGGAGAGGUAGACUGAACUGUCCCCAAUGUGCCCAUGGGAGCUGUCAAAACAAAGUUCAGAGAAUAGGCUUGGUCCUUGAACACUCUCUCUGUGCACCUCCUGUAUCUGUAGCAGUAAUGAUCAAUCAACAAACAGAUAAAUACAAUUACGAUGUUUUCUAUGUGCCAGGCACUAUGUUACGUGCUCUCCAUGUAUUAAUUCAUUUCAUCUUAACUCAACAGUAGGUGCUCAAUAAGAAUAUGACAACUUACAAAUUCCUACAGCAGCCCAAGUUCAGGGCUAUUUCCACCCUCAUCGCACAGAUAAGGACACAGUCACAUGUAAUGCACUUUGUAGUUUACAAAGCAUUGAAAUAAAGCGCACAUUUUCUGAGUAUAAAAGCAGCACAUAAUAAUAGUAGGAAACGUGGAAAAUUAAUAGAAUUAAAGAAGAAAAACAGCAAUCAUCCUUAAUCCCAUCACUCACCGAAGCAGCUGCACCUGAUUUUUAAAUGGGCUCCCUGGAUAGAGAUGAUGAUGAUAUUGAUAUAUUUUGUAGAAACAGAAACCAAAGCUUUGAGAGAGCAGUUGCACAGUGUGGAGCAGAUCUGAGGCUCGAACCCAGCCUUUCCCCGUAUUUCCCUACAACUCUGAUGGUUGCAAUUUUUGAAGUCUGUCUCGAUUGGAUUUGCAGGUUCCUCUUCCACUUUGGGGAAAGUUCUGAAGCACUCGGUCUGAGUGACUGGAGUGGAGCUGGUUUAACCUGUGAUGGUAAAUCACUCAUUCUCAAGUUUCUGACCUGGGAGCCUUAGAUCCCUGGGGUAGAAGGGUAGCCAGAGUUAUUGCAAGAGGCCUGAGAAUGCAUGUGCCCUGCAAGCAUUGCCUGUGUGGACUGAAUAAGCAGCACUUCCCAGCCAUGUGAGCUGUUAUUUGUUGAAUCUAUGUAGAUGGCUAUAAUUAAUAAAAUGCAUGUUUAUUCAAAAGCAUGGCUAAAUUCAUUAUAGACUUUUGUCAUGUAUUUUCUUAAUCAAGAAAUAUUAAACAUACAACCACUAUCACAUGACAGUCUGCCAUAUUUUGGGGGUUUCAAAAGGAUUCACAAAUAUGAGAAUACAGGUGCUGCUACUAAAGAGGAAAGCCAAGGAAAGCUGAGGCUGCAUCCAGGGCUUGUGCAGAGCAAGGGGACAGUAGAAAUGGGGAUGGGCGUCUCUCUGGAGGGACUUGGAAGCAGCCACUCAUUUAGUAAGCUCCACGGUGUGGUAUCGUGUUAAUGAAAUACUCACUUAGUUUGUUAAUUUUUAAAAUGGUUUUUAAAAAAUCUGAAUCCACUUCAUGUUGCAUAGACCUAGUCUGAGUUUGGAAGGGUAGCCCAAUAGAAAUGAAGGUGCGGACUUAUUUUAUGGCCCUAGUCUUUCAUGGAAAAAGAGUGAUAUUGCCUUGUGUGAUUCUGGGAAGCAGCCUCCCACGUCCCUUCUUUGGGCGAGUGAAGAGUUCAAUCUAGGUGCAUACUGGGGCACCAUGCCUGCUUCACACCACCUCUCACCUGUCACCUGGGACCCUUCCUCUCUGUCUUGUGGUUUAUGGUCCCCUGCCCAUUUUCUCUGCCAGAUUUUGGGCUUUGUGGGUCCAGGACUAUGCCUGCUUUUUUUUGGGGGGGGCGGGGCAGUGUUUUGCUCCGUUCCCCAGGCUGGAGUGCAGUGAUGCGAUCAUAGCUCACUGCAGCCCUGACUUCCCAGGCUCAAUUGAUCCUCCCACCUCAGUCUCCUGAAUAGCUGAAACCUGGCUAACUUUUUUUAUUUUUUGAAAAAACUGGGUCUUGCUAUGUUGCCCAUGCUGGUCUUGAACUCCUGGCCUCAGGUGAUCUGCCCACCUCGGUGGCCGUAAGUGCUGGGAUUGUAGGCAUGAGCCACCACACCUGGCCCUACAUCUGCCUUGUUAACAGCCUUAUCUCCAAGAUCCAGCAUAGAAUGUAUUGAAAAAUAUUUGUUGAACAAAUAAGUCACUGACUGGAUGAAUACAUGAAUAGUUAGGUGUGUCUUUAAUUUUACAAAGUAGAGAUGAAAAUGUUUGAAGGAGAUUUAAAAAGUACAGAUCACUAUUCAAUAUGCCUUUUUAUUUUUUCUCCUGCAUGAAUUUCUAGGUCAGAGUGUUGAAUGGAAAACCCAUUUUUCCCCUUGAUUAUAGAAACAAUAUAUGCUUGUUCUAAAAACAAAACAAAAUGAAAAAGAUAAGGAAAAAGCUGGCUGUCCCUCCUAAUCGCGUCUCCGUGCACCUCUGGAGCACGCCCUCCUGGUUCUCCUGAGUGUGUUAUGUGUAAGUAUCCAUUGCCCUCGCCAUGGAGCCAUCCUUUGCCUUCCGCUGUGCCUGGGAGGCUGACCCCCUCGGGGAAUUACCCAGGUUCCUUUGGCCCCUGGCUUCCUGUGAGUUCAGCUGAUGAGAGGCACCUGCAGGAGUCAAGCCUGUGGGCAGAGAGAGAAAUCCUGAGACAGCCGCUCCCUGUGUCCACGUUCGUCUCUGUGUCUGCACUUGUCUCUCUGUCCGUGCUCAUCUCUGAGGCUGCUUGUCCUUCCUGGCUUCAGUUUCCACCACCGCCCCCCACCCUGCAUGGUUCCAGUCCUAGCCAGGCCCCAGAAACUCUCUCCACCUGCUUUGUUCUUCAUGGGUAUGGGGUCCUGGGAGCCCCGCCUUGCUAGCCUGGGUGUCACCUUCCUGUCUGUUCACUUCACUCUGCACACAGCUCUUGAAGGGGUCCCUUCACUAAAGCUUCUUCCUAUGGACCCUAUUUGAUACAUUCUGCUUUUAGCCAGGACCCUGAUUGCAACAAGAUGCAUCUAUAGUCACAUAAUCAGAGUUGUCCUAUAUAUUCUAUUUUAUAAUCUGCUUUUUAAAGUUAACUAUACACUAUUAUAGGACUCUUUUAAAUCCAGCAAAUAUAACUACAGGUCCUCAUUAUUUUACUUGUUAAGAUUUUCAACAGGAUUUAAUGAAAUCCCACAAAUAUUGAUUGAGCACCUAUCAUGUACAGGAUGUAGUCCCGCCCUUAGGCGGGGUACAGAGCCACGUGGGCAUUAAGACAGAUGUGGAAAUUAUGUGGAUGGAAAAUACAAGGUGUCAUCAG